CAGCCCUGCGGAAGUGUUUGGCGGUAGCUCAAUCUCCAGGCCUUUUAAAAUGAGACCUGAUUGUUCAAAAGGCGUCAGAGAGGGAAGCUAGAAAGUCACAGAGUAUGGAAAUGGGAAAACACUCUGCAAGAUGAGGACAUCAAGACUCAGAGAAGCCUGUAGUUGUCUCAAAUCACACUUGCUACUAAAUGAAGCAGUCUUGGUAUUCUGAGGCUGGAGCAAAAUGCGACAAAGCAACGGUGCAAGACCCACUCGAGCACGCUCGGCUGUUGUAAGGAAACAAAACAAAAACACCACGUUUGCCUUCGUGUGCACACAGAACACACAGUGCUUUCUGAGAUUCACUCGAACGUCAAUGGCAUUUUGCUGCACAUUCCCUGGAGGGUAGCGGCAUCAUAGGAAUCCAAUUUUACUGUGGGAGAGGUUUUCGCAGCAGAGCAUGAAAAGAACACUCUGUGCAGAGAUGACAGAGGAUUUCAGUGUCACUGCUAUUUGGAAGUGUUCUGCUGUAAUUUCUCACAGGCACAAGAUUCAGGCGG